rnacentral:lncRNA from 1 species
GGAAGGGCAAGUCUUGCACUGCAGGUAAUUUUUCAACAUGUUUGUCAGUUUUUCUCUAAAUUGACAAAGUAAUAAUAGAAGUAAAGUGAUGCCAGAUUUUGCAUCUCUAAUGCAAGAGUUACAGUUACAGAAGUAAACAACCAUCUCAGGAACACUUUUUAGAGCUCUACUUGUCAAUUACUGAAAUGAUUUUGUGACUUUAACUUAAUAAUAAGGAUUGCCUGAGUGGUUGACUCAUUUAAGCAUUUUGAUGGAUGAGAUGAACAGAUUUUAGCUGAGGAAAGGUGCAUAUGAAGCAUUCAGGUUCAGAUUGAUUCACUUGUUUAUCUUGUUUUGCAAGCAACUAUUCAUGAUAGCUAAUGAAAGUUCUUAAAGAGUUCUUCCGCUGUAUUACUUUAACAGGUGGCUACUUUUGGUUUGUGAAAUAGCUUAGCAAUUUAAGAUGUGCUUUAACAAGGAUUAUGUAUGUGCAC